AUGAGCCAUUGGACUUGGCUGUGCUGCAGAGGAUGCUAGCUGAGAGUGAUGCUCGUGCAAAGUACUGGAGCACAGUCACAAUGGAUUUAAUGAAUACCUGCACCAAAGUCAUGCAGUCGGCCGACCGUGACAGGCAGUGGUUUGUCCUUAUGGUUAAGCAAAUCGAGAAAACCAUGGGAACUACGGUCCACCUGCAGGACGAUAGAAAGUCCCACAGCCAGGAAGCACAUAUUUGUUGCCCAUCUACUUCGAUGGUCAGUGAAUACAAGAAGGAGAAUGAAGCUGAUGACGAGAGAUAUGGUCUCAGGGAUCUUGUGGAAGACUGCAGGUCUCGUUUGGGCAGUUUGGAGCAAAUGGUGAGGCAGUUUACAG